rnacentral:rRNA from 1 species
GACGAACGCUGGCGGCGUGCCUAAUACAUGCAAGUCGAGCGCAGGAAACUGACGGAACUCUUCGGAGGGAAGGCAGUGGAAUGAGCGGCGGACGGGUGAGUAACACGUAAGGAACCUGCCUCAAGGAUUGGGAUAACUCCGAGAAAUCGGAGCUAAUACCGGAUAGUUCAACGGACCGCAUGGCCCGCUGAUGAAAGGCGCUCCGGCGUCACCUUGAGAUGGCCUUGCGGUGCAUUAGCUAGUUGGUGGGAUAACGGCCCACCAAGGCGACGAUGCAUAGCCGACCUGAGAGGGUGAUCGGCCACACUGGGACUGAGACACGGCCCAGACUCCUACGGGAGGCAGCAGUAGGGAAUCUUCCACAAUGGACGAAAGUCUGAUGGGGCAACGCCGCGUGAGUGAUGAAGGUUUUCGGAUCGUAAAACUCUGUUGUAAGGGAAGAACACGUACGAGAGGAAAUGCUCGUACCUUGACGGUACCUUACGAGAAAGCCACGGCUAACUACGUGCCAGCAGCCGCCGCAGUAA